AAAGGAAUAGACGGGGGCCCGCACAAGCGGUGGAGCAUGUUGCUUAAUUCGAUGCAACGCGAAGAACCUUACCCAGGUUUGACAUGCAGGCGACCGCGGCUGAAAGGCCGCUUCCCUUCGGGGCGUUUGCACAGAUGCUGCAUGGCUGUCGUCAGCUCGUGCCGUGAGGUGUUCGGUUAAGUCCGGCAACGAGCGCAACCCGUGCCGCCAGUUACCAUCAAGUAAUGUUGGGGACUCUGGCGGGACUGCCCGUGUCAAGCGGGAGGAAGGCGCGGAUGAUGUCAAGUCCGUAUGGCUCUUACACCUGGGGCUGCAAACGUGCUACAAUGGCAGGCACAGUGGGCAGCGACGCCGCGAGGCUGAGCAAACCCUUAAAACCUGCCCCAGUUCGGAUUGCAGCCUGCAACUCGGCUGCAUGAAGUCGGAAUCGCUAGUAAAGGGACAUCAGCUACGGUCCCUUGAAUACGUUCCCGGGCCUUGUACACACCGCCCGU
rnacentral:rRNA from 1 species